rnacentral:lncRNA from 1 species
CAUCAUGUGGGUGCAAGUGCGGUCACAGUACGGUAGAGACCGGGACUGUGGAGCAUUGCAUGCCAAGGGAACUUUGGACCUGACACGCGCCUGGGAAUUGAUGGGGACGGCCGACACAGGAAGCGACCUUUGUGGUGCACGGAUGUCGUGAGAUUAGGUUCGCCAUGCAUGGUUAAGAAACUCGAAUUGAUUCGUUUGCCUCUCACAGUUUGAGACUGCUU